rnacentral:lncRNA from 1 species
CUUCCUUAUUUUAUUGUGUAAACUUACAGAUUAUAUAGUACUUUGUAAAGACAGCUUUGUGAUUAGCGUGCCAAAAACCGGAUGGGUGAAGUCACACUACCAUAAAAGGGAAAUUACAGUACUAAGCAUAUUUCAGUGGUUACAUAUAUAAAAACAUUAGGACAUCAGAGAGGGGUUAAUGGGGGAAGCUGCAAUCCUCUCCUCAGAAACCACAAAAUGUCACAAGUCAUGAUUUUAUGCUUAUUUGUGCUUAUUUGUCAGACACUCAAAACUAGACUAAAGAUUAAAAGCAGAACAUAGGAAGUAAAGACUGGGCAUCUGGUCAUCUUAAAAGCUUGAGCCUGGGGUCAAGGUAUCCUCCAUCAAUAAUUCCAUUACAAUUUCCCUCUUUUUGACCCCACGGCUCACCCAGGUGUCUGAGGUAUUUCCAGGUAUGCCAGUCAAAACCUGUGGGUCUUUUAUUAAUGCCUUCGCCACGAUUCCCUUAGACAGGGCAAACCAGGGGUCACAGGAGGAAUGGUCCUUCAUCAGUUAUACAGUUCUGUAGCUGUCAGAGUUUGAGGAAGCUGGCAUAUAAGUUAAAGUACGACCAACACAAGGUUUUGAUUUACACAAGGAUAACAGAAGACAUGAGAAGAACUUAAAUGUCAGAAAAAACAUCAUUAUUAUAAAUACUGUGAUAAGUAAGAAAUACAAUAUUUUCUUAACAUACUGAGCCAUCUACCAAGACCAAAGGUCCAAUCCCCAAAGAACCCUGUAUCUUGUUUUAUUCCCAUCACUAGAUCGUGAAGAAUCUGGAUAUGCUCAUGGAUCAUUGUCCAUUGAUCCUAAAGAUUAAAGCAACACAUGCCCUUUACUGCCUCACACCCUAAUUCAUGUUUAAUUAACAAAUAGUCAAUAGCUGCCCUAUUUUCAAGGAUCGCUUUCUUGUUAAGCUGGGUAUCCAUUAGAAGUUCCUCCAGGGCCUGGGAUGUCUCAUUGAAACCUUUUUGGCAAGGGAACAGGCUAGGGCAUCAAUUACUUGGUUAUUAUACAGUGCUAAGCCCGGUACUCCUAACAUUUAAUAGGCUGUGUAACAGGUUAUAUUCGAGAGGAAACAGGGGUGGUCUUAUAAACAUUAUCCAAUAAUAACAUCAUUCAUCAAUCUUAUCUCAACAUAUCUUAUCUUACAGCUAGCUUGCAGGUGUAAUUGGGGAGUACUCAUUAUAGUUUCAGUUUAACUACGCACCUGAAAUAAAAAGUUACUUUGCACUCAUAAAAUACAUAUGUUACUACGGAGUUAGAAAUACAGAAAUAGAAAACAGCAAAUAAGACCAACGCUCUGAGACAGGAAAGUUCAUAACUCUGUCUAGGGGUUCUUACAUUGAGCAUUGUAUAUAGACACAAUAUAUUAUUUCAAAUAGCUAACAAGCUCCAAGUUAACCAAUUUUAAACAGACUGAACAUCCAGUCAUCUGUAGCAGGAGCCUUGGGUCAGUAUAGGCAAAGUGUAUUAUUCCCAACACUUACCGACCUUUUUUUUCCACAUGGUGAAUGCCUAUAGUCAAAGUGGGAAUAAUGUGACAAAAACUCAUAUUUGAGAAAAAAAGCACAUCUGGGGAAACCCUGAAUGGGGGCCACAACAGUAUAGACAUGUCAUCCCUCACGUUGACACCACCUGUGACUUCUAAUAGCCGCACCGGUGAAUACAUAGCUUGGGUAUUGGGAGGAGAUGGGAAACACUUCUUGAUAAUGAUGGGAAAAGCCCAUUUGCAUAUUAUCAUCAUAUAAUUGAUAAUCUCAAUUAAUUACUUUAAUAACCCCAAAUAAUAUUAUCAUCAAACUCACAAUUAUUACAUUAAUUGCAACCCGGACCAUUCGUCCAAUAUCUCCUAACCAUUUCCCUAUUCCAAAGGUCCAGUCAAACCAAGUCAUAUCCACAUCCAAUUCCUCACAACAUGGGAAUCCAUCCUUUGCACACUCAACAUACAUCAACAACACAUACUACAUCCCUCCCUGGGCCAGCUAACACUCCAUCCCUCUCUGGCUAACUCUACAAAAAAUAUAAAUAACAAAAUAGUUCAAUAUAGUUCAUAAAAAAUAGAAGUCCUUCAAGGAGUAUAAAUAAAUCAGUUCGGACACCAUACAUUUUGUUCCAUAUAAUAGCAAAGGGUAGCAAAAUGGCUGACAACAAGACAAUGUCAGGUUCCACAUAGUUCUUAGUUCUUCUUUUGUUAGCUGCAUGUUCACCACAAUGCUCUGUGCAACACUCCAAUUGUUGAAAGGGUUAAUACAGAACCAGGGGCAUUAGACAGCACUGCACCUUCAGGACUUUCCAGGGUCUUGCACACAAAGGUUAUGUCCUCAUAAGUAAGCAUCACAGUUUCUUCGGCCUUCAUGGAUUUUGACCAAACAGGUGUAAUUGCAAAUAAGUAGUGCAAAGUCAGCCAAAGAGAGAGAUUGGUGCGCAAUCCCAAGAAUCAGGUAGCACAAACACUCCAGGACGGUCUCUACAAGUAUACAAACACAAGGAUCAAUACGACAUGAACAAUUCCUAAAAGGAUAUAUCUAUUAUUAUCAAUUUAGCAAUUAUCUAGGCUAAAAGUCAAAUAAGGGACUAAAAUUAAAUCCUUAACUGGUGUAACAUGUACUUCUCUCAGCUUUGCUUAUUUUUAUGAAAUUUGUAUUCUAUUAAAUUUUACAUAAUUCCCUUUGGAAUGCCCUUGUACACGUCUCAAGCAAGUGACUGAUAAAAUCUAUAUACAUAUUCUUGACAUACACAUAUGGAAAAAAUUCCCAAUAAAACUCUGUUCUUAAACUUAAACCUUGAUUUGAUAAUCUCAAUUAAUUACUUUAAUAACCCCAAAUAAUUCAAUACUCUUGUAUUAAUAUCCAAAACUAUAUAUAAAAUAUUAAAACCAUGAACCAUCUAAUUCAAACAUUACUUGAAAAUUAAUAUCUUACUAUAAAAUCCUAACUUGGAUUUUGGAUGGUUUUUGUUCCCUAUAAUGAAUAAUGCUAGGAUGAGAUGUGGUUGGACAUAGCUUAAACUGAGUAUCAAAAAUCUCUAACCACAAAAGCUAAAUUUUAUAUGUUUAUAUAAAAAAACCAUUUGAAAAUAACCCCUUGAUUAAUAUCUUACUUAUCCUCUUCUGGGUUUGCAAAAUGCUUUCAAUUUACCAAUACAAAUAUAAUACAGUAGUUUAGAUUAGAAUUGCCUCACUUACAAAUGUCAGAAAUGGUCUGAUCUCUAUUAAAAAUAAAAUUUCAUCAUUACCCUAUGAUCAAUGAGGCAUACUAGAUGAAUCUUAAAUAAAAUGUAAUAAACCCAUCCUCUACAUACCCCCACAGAUUGGUGUUUCUACCCAGUUAAAAAGGCAGAACAAUCAAUAUGGAUAACAUAAUUUUCUUUGACACAAAUAAUGCAAUACACUUUAAAAGUAAAGUUAACUCUGAGCUGGAAAAUAGCUGGACAAUACUCCCCUGUGAGAGGUAGCGGGAGUACUCCUUUAUAAGGGAGAGUCUUCUUCUUGUCCAUGUAUACUUUUUCUCAGUGAAAGAAUCACAUUCAGGAUUAGUCAGUUUGCAAAAGGAAACGUGGAUCCACGAUUUGAAUAGCAGAAGUUUGUGGGGCCCCUUUUACGUGAAAUGUAACAAGUGAUUUUCUCAAAGACUCAUAUUAUUAUCAAAUAAUGUCCAGGAGUGAUAGCAUGCAGUGAAUUUAUUCUUGCCGGCUUUAUAGCAUUUUACCUGUCGUAAAUACACUAAAUGCUUUCGUUAAUGACAUGCAAAUAUUCUUAACUUUACUAUUUAAACUCAGAAACAAUAGACAUUAACAAGGAAGGACCACAGAACACACCAAUUCAUUAAAACCCAUAGAACUCAAACUCAGCAAUCAUUGUAAUAUCAAACCUG